rnacentral:rRNA from 1 species
CCUGACUGCUAUCGGAUUGAUACUAAGCCAUGCGAGUCAUUGUAGUACUACAAGGCAGACGGCUCAGUAACGCGUAGUCAACCUAACCUAUGGACGGGAAUAACCUCGGGAAACUGAGAAUAAUGCCCGAUAGAACAUUAUGCCUGGAAUGGUUUAUGUUCCAAACGAUUUAUCGCCAUAGGAUGGGACUGCGGCCUAUCAGUUUGUUGGUGAGGUAAUGGCCCACCAAGACUAUUACAGGUACGGGCUCUGAGAGGAGUAGCCCGGAGAUGGGUACUGAGACACGGACCCAGGCCCUAUGGGGCGCAGCAGGCGAGAAAACUUUGCAAUGUGCGAAAGCACGACAAGGUUAAUCCGAGUGGUUUCUGCUAAAGGAACCUUUUGUCAGUCCUAAAAACACUAACGAAUAAGGGGUGGGCAAGUUCUGGUGUCAGCCGCCGCGGUAAAACCAGCACCUCAAGUGGUCAGGAUGAUUAUUGGGCCUAAAGCAUCCGUAGCCGGCUCUGUAAGUUUUCGGUUAAAUCUGUACGCUCAACGUACAGGCUGCCGGAAAUACUGCACAGCUAGGGAGUGGGAGAGGUAGACGGUACUCGGUAGGAAGGGGUAAAAUCCUUUGAUCUAUUGAUGACCACCUGUGGCGAAGGCGGUCUACCAGAACACGUCCGACGGUGAGGGAUGAAAGCUGGGGGAGCAAACCGGAUUAGAUACCCGGGUAGUCCCAGCUGUAAACUAUGCAAACUCAGUGAUGCAUUGGCUUAUGGCCAAUGCAGUGCUGCAGGGAAGCCGUUAAGUUUGCCGCCUGGGAAGUACGUACGCAAGUAUGAAACUUAAAGGAAUUGGCGGGGGAGCACRCAAGGGUGAAGCCUGCGGUUC